GACGAACGCUGGCGGCGUGCCUAAUACAUGCAAGUCGAACGAGAGCGACCGGUGCUUUCACUGUUUACUCAAGUGGCGCACGGGUGAGUAACAUGUGGGUAACCUGCCCAUCAGAGGGGGAUAACAUCCGGAAACGGAUGCUAAAACCGCCUUGGUCUUCGAACCGCAUGGCUUGAAGAGGUAAAGAGGCGCAAGCUUCUGCUGAUGGAUGGACCCGCGGUGCAUUAGCUAGUUGGUGGGGUAACGGCUCACCGAGGCCGUGAUGCAUAGCCGACCUGAGAGGGUGAUCAGCCACACUGGGACUGAGACACGGCCCAAACUCCUACGGGAGGCAGCAGUAGGGAAUCUUGCGCAAUGGGCGCAAGUCUGACGGAGCAACGCCGCGUGUGUGAAGAAGGUUUUCGGGUCGUAAAACUCUGUUGUUGGAGAAGAACAAGUGCUAGAGUAACUGUUAGCGCCUUGACGGUAUCUAACCAGAAAGCCACGGCUAACUACGUG
rnacentral:rRNA from 1 species